rfam:Azospirillum lipoferum strain R1C genome assembly, contig: Ga0048941_15
GCGCCCGUAGCUCAGCUGGAUAGAGCAUCAGACUACGAAUCUGAGGGUCAGGAGUUCGAAUCUCUUCGGGCGCG